GAAAACUCCACAGUGUGUUGUAUUGAAACGGUUUUAAUUGUCCUAUAACAAAAGCACAGAAAUCUCUCACCGUUUGGAAUAGCAAGAAAGAAACUUACAAGCCUAGCAAGACCGCGCACUUAAGCGCAGGCCCGGCUGGACUCUCCAUCUCUUGUCUUCUUGCCCAGUAAAAGCUCUCAUGCUCUUGCCAAAACAAAAAAAAAAAA
rnacentral:misc_RNA from 1 species